GCGGACGUGGCUCAGUGGUAGAGCAUCACCUUGCCAAGGUGAGGGUCGCGGGUUCGAAUCCCGUCGUCCGCUC
rnacentral:tRNA from 22 species